UAUAAGGAGCUCAAACUAUAGGAAAACAUUUAAUAAUCUUAUUUUAAAAUGGGCAGAUCUGAAUAUACAUCUCUCAAAAGAAGACAUACAAAUUGCAAACAGGUGUAUGGAAAGGUGCUCAGCAUUACUGAUCUCGAAAGAAAUGCAAAUGAAACCUACAGUGAUAAAUCUUCUCACCCCAGUUACAAUAACUUUUUUCCAAAAGACAGACAAUAAUGAUCCUGGUGAGGAUGUGGAGAAAGUAGAACCCGCAUACACUGUUGGUGGGGUCGUCAGUUAGUACAGCCAAUAUGGAGAACAGUAUGGAGAUUACUCAGAAAAACUAAAAAUAUAACUAUCAUGUGAUCCAGCAAUGCCUCUGCUAGGUAUAUACCCAAAAGUAAUCAGUAUAUGGAGCAGAUAUUUGCCCUCCCCUUUUAUUGUAGCACUGUUCAGUCUAGCCAAGAUUUGGAAUCAGCCUAAGUGUCCAUCAAUACACAAAUGAAUAAAGAAAAUAUGGUACAUAUACACAACGGAAUACUAUUCAGCCAUAAAAGGAAUGAGAUCGUGUUAUUUGCAACAACAUGGAUGGAACUGGAGGUCGUUCUGUUUAGUGAAAUAAACCAGGCAUAGAAAGACUAACUUUGCAUAUUUUCACUCAUUUAUGGAAGCUAAAAAUUAAAACAGUUGAUCUCAUGGAGAUAAGAGAGUAGAAGGAUGGUUACCAGAGGCUGAGAAGUGUAGUGGGCUAGUGAGAAGGAAAUGGAAGGCUUAAUGGCUGCAAAAGCAUAGUUUGACAGAAUGAAUAAGACCUAAUAUUUGAUAGCACAACAAGGUGACUACAGUCAACAGUAAUUUAUUCUACAUUUUAAAACAACUAAAAGUGGAAUAGGAAUGUUUGUAACACAAAAUAAAGGAUAAAUACUUGAGAUGAUGGAUCCUCUAUUUACCCUGAUGUGAUUAUUACAUUUUGUAUGCCUGUAUCAAAAUAUCUCAGGCACCCCAUAAAUAUAUAUGCCUACUAUAUACCCAUAAACAUUUUAAAUUUUAAUUAAAAAAUUAUUUCAUCGUUGUCAACAAAUGGAAAUGUAUAGAGUUUUCCAUGAUGAUAUUUAGGAGAAAAAUCUUGGGGCAAGCUAUAAGGAUCUAUCUAAAAUAUAUUAAUAUAUUAACUUUAACAAGUAGUGAAUAUUAUGAAAGCAUACAUAGUAAUAUAUGUAUUAUAUUUAUGUAGUAUAGGGUAUUAGUGUGACCCCUAUAAGUCAGUAAGACCCCCAAAUGUUAGUUUAUAUAUACUGACACAGAAUUACACUAUAUUUGAAAGCCUGGUUCGGUUUUGAAAAUCUUGACACAAAUUCGGUCUUUUUGAAAUUUAGUUAUCUGCUUAAACGUCUAUAGGUACUUGUUAACACGAAAAUUUUCUACUUUAAUAAAUAAAUACUGAAAGUUUUUACAUUAGUCACCUCUUUUGGAAGCUGUACUCGUUGUAAGUUGUGAUGAUACAGACGUUGGAAAACUGAACCAAGUCUUUAUAGAAAUUAUAGUUGGAUCCUCAGUCAUCUAUUUGGUCUCCAGGAGAAACACGAAGAAACCUUGUUGACCUGUUUCCUACAUUUUGCCUGCUACAGAUUUGUGCCCACUUGGACCUUAAUUAUUCUUACCACCCAUCUCCUCCAUGUCUUUCCGUUAACAAGUAGUAAAUUCACAUAUGUUGUUGCUUUCUCUGAGAACAUUUCCAUUGUAAUAAUUCUCUUUGAAUACUCACAAAGUAUUGAAGAUGUAAUGGUCUAUAUAGGUGAUGGGAGAAUUGUAUCAUGAUUUUUACUUUAUAUAUUUUAAGUUUUGGGGAGCAGGAAGGGAGCAGGAGCACAUUUCCAAUGUAAUUUACAACACACCUUCUAAUUAAGUAUAUUUUAAUAACGCCAGCCAUAACUCUGAGAUUGAAAUCACAACAUCUUCCUUUUGUGAGGGACUCUGCUUCACCCUCCCAGUUCAGUGCAGAAGUCCCAUCUAGAAAUUUCUUACAAAUAAUCACCUGUUAUUCGAAUACUUUGCAGUGCCAGGAAUAUCACUAUUUCACAAGAUAAACAGUAUUGUUUUUUAAUAAUUAAAAAUGUUAUCUUAAAAUCAAUGCAUUAAUUCUGUACUCUGGGACUAACACCUGUUCUAUGUGCCAGCUAUUCAAAUCAGAAAGGCUUUUAACGUGCUUCUUAGAUUACCACCUCUCGCUGGUUUUUCCUCUUCCAGACCAGAUUCCGCUAGUUUCUUAAAUAAAUUCUCAUGAUACUUUCCAGACGUCUUACCAUUGCAUCUCCCUUAUCAAAAUGCACCCAGCAUUGUUCACAAUCCUCCUACACUAACAGCAGAGUAUUCUAGAUAUGGUCUGGCAAGUAUGGCCUACAGAGCCCCAUUACCUUCCUUUAUCUUGAUGCUGCUCUCUUAUUCAUAUAAUUAAAGUCACAUUAGCUUUCCUGGCAGCCAUCACAUUUUCCUUUCCCAUUGUAUUUGUAUCCAAAUAAAAAUCUUAAGUUUUUCUUUUGUAUCCUAGUAUUAUGUCAUAUCUUUUUCUUUAUUCAGUUAAUAAUUUCAACCUAAAACCCUAAAUUUAACAUUAAACAUGAAAAAGUACAAUGUUAACUUUGACCCUCUAACAUAUUAGAAAAGAUAAAAGAAUAUUACAGGACACUUCUGUCAUUAAUCUGUUAGGAUUGUAGCAUCUCCCAUAGCCAGCAAAUGGAUCUCUCCUUUUAACUUUUUGUUGUUCCAAGCUUAGCUUUAAGGUCCCUUUUUCUUCUCUCUUGCAUUUUUCUUGUCUCAUUUGUUUUUGGCCCUUUAUCUUUCUGACUUUAUUCUUCUACUUUUAACCUACAGUGUAGCUCACUGUUAUAGAAUGAAUUCAGAUAUACAAAGUAUUAAAAAUCAGGAUUUCAAUGGUAUAUUUUCUGUCUUUAGCAAAAUAUUCUAUGCCAUUGGUAUUUCUAAUUACAGAGCAAGUAAAUUGAAUACAGAUUUUUACUGUGAAGAGUCUACAGUGACAAGAUUGCAUGUGUUAAUCAAGUAACAAAAUUCAUCAAAUUUUUAAUUCCCUGGGAAGCAGGAUGUGGUGCCAGAACAAAUUUAACUUUUCUAAAGAAGCCACUUAAACUUCCUCUGUUAUUAGGAAAUAUAGUCCUGCUGUAGGUAACAUGUCUGAAUUUUUGAGCAGUUCCAUUUUUUUGAAUCUGUAGAUCUUGUAUGUCAACUAGCAAGACAUCAACUUCCACUCAGAUCUGUGGAGAAUAGGUGGUGACUGCCAUCCCAAAAACUGUUGGAAGGGGAGCUGUUUUGGAGGUGAUGCCAGGCAAGGUGGAAGAAACACUUUAAUGAUGCUUUUAACUAUCUCUUCCAAAUAAGAGGAGACAUUUGGAAAACUGAGAGGCAAGACGGAUUUGUAUAAAUAAGGCUUUGAAUGUGGCCUUUAUGGUGACUGCCAAAGGACAUCUUAUUGUUUCUGCAAUAGAAUCUACAGCCAUAUUCUAGGAAAAAAUCAAAAAACAAAACAACAGCAAGAACCUUUUACCUAUGUACUCUCACAUUUGUCUUUUUAGCUGCUAAUCUUUAGUGUAAUAAUGACCAAUAUUCUUUAAUACAAUCGAUAGAAAUGUGGGUAAUGCUGAGACCUAAAUGUACUUAAUAAAUAGGCAGGCUUCAUAUUUCAUGCUUAGAAAGAUAAAAUACAUUUCCCUGAUGUGUUAUAUUCACUUAAGUUUUCACAUUGUUUAGCUGUAAAGAAAGGAACAUAGUGCCUUUUAUAUCAUCAGAAUCAUUAUUAUAUUUCUUUAGUGGCAUUUCAUCACCUAGAACAUUAUCAGGUUGUCAUUAAAUCAGAAAGAAAACUAUGUUCCCAAGGCCAGAGGGCUCUUUCUAAUCCAUUUGAAUAAUACAAAUGAUUAUACCACAUUUUAAAUGAUGUGGGGAGAAUGUGAGUAUUAGGACCCCUCUUUUGCGGGCCUUCUAUUUGCUAAUCAUUUUUAUAAAGUAUUCAUUUCAAUAUAGUAUAGUAAUAAUGAAAAAGUUUGAAACAUUGCGAUAAUUGCCAAAAUGUGAUGCAGAGACAUGAAGUGAGCAUAUGCUGUUGGAAAAACAGCACCGACAGAGUUGCUCAACGAGGGUUUCCACAAACUCUCAAUUUGAAAAAAAACACAAUAUCUGAAAGGCACAAUAAAGUAAAGUGCAUAAAACAACCUCUGACUGUAUUUCGGACCACACUAUAAGGCAGGUUGUAGAGACUGAGGCCUUUAAUUAACUGAAGACUUUCCUCCAGCCCAUGGCAGGUAAAGGUUAAGCAGUGUAUUCCACAGCCCGUGUUCUUUCUGUUACACGCUGGUGCCUCUUUCUGUUCCCAGAGUAUGUACAUGUGGUUGGGGGUGGGAGCAAUGGUGGUAUUAUUGAUGAUUUAUUUCUCUAAUGUUCAAAAUAAUUUCAAAAAUACUUCUGGGAAUAUAGGUAGAAGGAGAAAAUUACAUACAGACUUAUGGCCCAGGCAGUUUUCUUUCUAAUCAACUCACUUUUCUCACUGCCCUGCCAUCACCCCUGACAAAUUCGUCCCCAGAAAUUCUUCUUAAUGAUCUUUUUUUGCCAUCUUCCACAAGAAGAAAAAUAAUUUUAAAGCAAAACAUACAUAUGAAGGUCAAUUAUUGUGAUUUUUUUUCUGUAUUCUAGAGUAGAAUAUGAAGGUGUCACGGUUCUAUUUUCAGAGUUUAAGUUAAUACAUGAUAUACAAUAUAAAUUUAAAACCUCCCAGCUUAUGUAUAAGGUAUUUGUGUUGGUAUAUCAGAUAAAUAUCAUUCUGAGACCAUAAACAACACAAGAAUCAAAUGUGUAAGUUAUUUAUGGGCAUACUGUUGAGGUGGGAGUAGCAAUGGUAAUGUAGUAACAGCCCCCUUUCCAAAUGGCAUUUCAAACUGUUACAAUGUUGACAUGCUAGGAGGAGUGGUCAUGAAGUAUGGCUUGUGAAGAAUAUGUGAAUCUAGGACAAAAUCUUUAAACCCAAGGGAGCAGAGGUAUAAAUAGUUGAAUUUGACCUGAGAUUGUUGAAAUAUUUUCAUUAAGCCACUGCAAGAUGCACUUUUUAAAAUGUAAAUUCAUACUCUGACAUUUGCAACCUGUACACAGAGUUUCUAAUAAGCAAAUAAGGUCACUUGGAUGAUUUACUGGAGUGUGAUUGCUGAAGGCAGAGAUGUUGCUGUGAGUUGCUUGGUUUACAGAAGGCUUUGAAGUGUGGUGAUGUAACACUGUGUUUAUGAGAAUCUAUGCUUUAUGCAACAAAUAAAAACAAAGGACUUAAUUUAGGAUUAGCUAACUACCACAUUCUAUCCAGAUUAUAUAUGUAAAGGUUAAUUUCUGGUCUGACUAAAUAGAGCAUCUCAACUUUUUAGUUUUCCAGGUUGUAGAUACUUUGGUAAAAAUCAAAUUCAAGGUUUUCUCCAGAAGUUUGACACAGUGACCUUCACCAGAUACAAGCAUGUUUCUUUUUCCUUUUUGUUAUGCUGCAAUUUACUGAUAAUGAGCUUUAUGAGAGCUGAGACAGAUGAUCCUACUAACAAUUUUAUAUUUAAUAUAGGUCCUCCUAUUUAAGAAUAGCUUCAUAAUGAACGUAUGCUCAUUGCUUAGGUUCACUUUCUUUAGUUUUGAAAUGACUAAUACUUUUAAACAUAGAGGUCCUUUUGAUCAUUUUUUUCAUUGCUAAACACUGUCUAACAAUCCCUAUGAUUUAAUGAUAAUGACAGACCAGUACCCUCCCCUCCCUUGGUCAUAAAAAGCCUAUGAUUUAGCUUCAUUUCUCUACCCAGGAGUUAGGGAUGAAUCACCAAGUAAGGAAAAUAUUUUGCAUGAUUAAAAUAUUGCAACGCUAUAACACUUUUAGAUUGCCUUAAUAUAUAUUCAUAAGAUUAUAGGCAGUAAUGAAUAAUGAGUAAGCCCUUACUGCACACAAAUGUAUUUAGUUUUGGAAUUUUUUUCUUGAAGGGGGUUCAGGGUCCUGUUGUUUUGAAUAACCAUCACAGUGCUGUCAAAUAUUUAACAGCAUGUCUGUUUUUUGUUUCAUAGCUCAGUUGUGCAAUGAUGGUCUCUUCACUUCAGAAAGUCAUCUAACAAUAGCCCGGUCAAAAUUCUGUCUUCUAUUUCUUGCCCUUCUGGAGGAAAAAUACAUCAGAAAUAUUAUUAUAACCUUUAAAGAUAGUGCAUAAUCACCUAGUAAUAGUAUCCUUCAUUGGGGUUGGUGGGGGGAACAUUUGUGCCCAAGGUGAUCAUUUUCACCAGUUUUAAAAAAGGAGUUAUUAUUAUGUGUUUGUAGACUUCAAGAUGAAUGAUAAGACAGAGAAUUACCCAUAUAUCAACAAUGAUAUGUUUACUUAGAAUACACUAGGCACCUGUAAACAGAGAGCUAAAUCUCUGAUAGGAGGAUGUAUAGAGGGUUGAUGAACUGAUAGACGGACUGACAGGUGGAAGGAUGGAUGGAUAAAUGGAGUAUGUAGCUACCUAGUGGUGAAAUAACUCCUGAAGGUUUAAAAUUAUGUCAUUAAAACACAGAUAGUACUAAAAUGAUUUGCUUCUCGCUUAAAACAGUAAUUUAAUUAAAUCAUAUAAAAAUUGAUAAGGUAUUAUCAAUAAAAUACAUCAUAAUUUUAUGGAAUUCACAAUUAAUAUAUUAUACUAUGAUGUGCUUGCUGAGCAGAUGUUCGUAAUAAGAUCUACCAUCUCUUAUAAACUUACAUGUUAAGCACUCUGAAAGCACUUUACAGUCAUUACCACAUUAGCUAACCAUUUCUUUUCCUAGACUGCAAAUAUGGAAGAAGGCAGUCUACAGGCAUACCUUGGAGAUAGUGCAGGUUUGGCUCUAGACCACUGCAGUAAAACAAAUAUUGCAGUAAAGCAAGUCACACAAAUUUUUUGGUUCACAAUACAUAUAAAAGUUGUGUUUAUACUAUACUGUAGUCUAAUAAGUGUGCGAUACUAUUAUGUCUAAAAAAGUGUACAUGCCGUAAUUUACAAAUACUGUAUUGCUAAAGGAUGCUAACGAUCAUCCAAGUCUUCUGUAAGUCAUAAUCUUUUUGCUAGUGGAGGCUCUUACCUUGGUGUUAAUGGCUCCUGACUGAUCAGCGUGGGGUUUCUAAAGGUUGUAGUGGCUAAGACGAUAAUGAAGUUUGUCACAUGAAUUGCCUCUUCCUUUUAUGAAAGAUUUCUCUGUAACAUGUGAUGCUGUUUGGUAACAUUUUACCCACAGUAGGACUCUUUCAAAAUUAGAGUGAAUCCUCUCAAACCCACCACUUAGUUGAUAAAGAUUACCUACAUUUAUAUUAUAUUCUAAAUAAUUUGUUGCCAUCUCUAGCACCUUCACCAGUAAUAGAUUCCAUCUCAAGAAACCAUAUUCUUUGUUCGUCUGUAAGAAACAAUUCCUCAUCCAUUAAAGUUUUAUCAUGAGACUGCAGCAAUUCAGUCACAUCUUUAGGUUUCACUUCUAAUUCUAGUGAUCUUGCUAUUUCCACUGCAUCUGCAGUUAGUUCUCCCACUGAGGUCUUGAAUUCCUCAAAGUCAUCUAUGAGAAUUGGAAUUAACUUCUUCCAAACUCCUAUUGUGUUGAUAUUUUAACCUCCUCCCAUGAAUCACAAAUGUUCAUAAUGGCAUCUAGAAUGGUGAAUCCUUUCCAGAAGAUUUUCAGUUUACUUUGCCGAGAUUCAUUAGAGGAAUCACUGCUUAUGACAGCUAUAGUCUUACAGAAUACAUUUCUUAAAUAAUAAGAGUUGAAAGUUGAAAUUACUUCUGGAUCCAUGGGGUGCAGAGUUCAUGUUGUAUUAGUUGGCUUGAAAACAAUGUUAAUUUCCUUGUACAUGUCAGUCAGAGCUCUUGGGUGACCAGAUGCUUUCAUCAAUGAGGUAAUAUUUGAAAGGAAUUUUUUUUCUGGGCAAUAGGUCUCAAGCUUGGGCUUACGGGCUCAGUAAACCAUGCUAUAAACAGACGUGCUGUCAUCCAGGCUUUGUAGUUACAUUUAUAGAGCACAAGCAGAGUAGACUUUAGUAUAAUUCAUAAGGCCAUAGGUUUUUGGAAACGGUAAACGAACAUUGGCUUCAACUCAAAGUCACCAGCUGCAUUAGCCCAUAACAAGAGAGUCAUCCUGUUUUUUGGAGCUUUGAAACCAGGCAUUGUCUUCCCAGUAGUUACGAAAGUCCCAGAUGGCAUCUUUCAAUGGAAGCCUGCUUCAUCUACAUUGAAAAUCUAUUGUUUAGUGUAGCCACCUUUAUCAAUAUCCGAGCUAGAUCUUCUGGAGGACUUGCUACAGCUUCUAGAUCAGUGCUUGCUACUUCACCUUAAACUUUUAUGUUAUGAAGAUGUCUUUAUUCCUUAAACCUUAAGAACCAGUCUCUCCUGGCUUUAAACAUUUCUUCUGCAGCUUCCUCACCUCUUCCAGCCUUCACAGAAUUGAAGAGAGCUAGGGCCUUGCUGGAUUAGGCUUUAACUUAAGGGAAUGUUGUGGCUAGUUUGAUCUUAGAUCCAGACCACCAUAAACUUCUUCAAAUCAACAGUAGGCUGGUGUUCACUUUCUUAUCACUUAUGUGUUCACUUCGUAUUUCUUUGAAGAACUUUUCCUUUGCAUUCACAACUUGGCUAACUCUUUGGCAUAAGGGACCUCGCUUUUGUCCUGUCUCAACUGUGAACUUGCCUUCCUCACUAAGCUUAAUCAUUUCUAGUUUUCGAUUUAAAGUGAGAGACAUGCCACUCUUCUUUUCACUUGAACUCCUAAAGGCUAUUGUAGGUUUAUUAAUUGGGCUAAAUUCAAUAGGGUCUUAGACAAUAGGGAGGCCCAAGAAAAGGGGAAGAGGCAAGGGAACUGCUGGUAGGUUGGAGGAGUCAACACACACAUUUAUUAAGUAUUUGUUAACUUUGUGGUUGUAUAUGUGCAUGAUUUGUGGUGCCCCAAACAAUUACAAUAGUAACAACAAAGGUCACUGGUCACAGAUCAUCAUCAUAGACAUAAUGAUGAUGUAAAAAUAAUAUAAUUAUGAACAAACAAUCAUGUAUUAAUAUGUAUUAAUAAUGAAACAGUUUGAAAUAAUGAAAGAACUACCAAAAUGUGACACAGAGACACAAAGUGAACACAUGCUAUUGGAAAAUGGCGCCAACACACUUGCUGGAUACAGGGUUGCCACAAAUCUUCAAUUUGUAAAAAUGUGUAUUUGUAAAGUGCCAUAAAACAAGUUAUGCUGGUGCAGUAGUAUCAUUGGCCUGAAAGAUUUCACACUGAGCCUUUCCUUUUAAAGUUAGGCUUUACUUAAUUUAUCCAAAAUAUAUGUUUUUUUCCUAUUUAAAAAAUAAAUUAGUCAUCUUUAUACCUGAUACCAGUGUUUUUUAAAUAGAGCAUUCUAUGUCUAAACUAAAUUUCUAACAUGGAUGUUAUAUUACUUCUCCUUCUGUUCAGUAGAAAUUACCUUUUUCAAUGAGUAUCUCCUGCCUGCCUAAGUGAGAUAUUAUCCGUGUUUCUGACAUUUUCCGUUAAGCUCUUCUUAAUCAGAAUCUCACAGGAUCAAACUGAGUGGUCAGUGUUUUAUUUAUAUAAAAGUAUUACCUGAGUAUCCCAGACGAUUUCUUAAAAUUAAGGCAUGAUAUAAUUACUGGCUCGCUAAAAUUACUUAAGGGCUUCUAAGCAUUUUUGAAAGCUACGACCAAAAUAAGUUUCUGUUUCUCAGAGAAAAUUGGAAAUAUUAGAGCCAUAAACAGUGUGUUCUUGGAAGCAGUGGAUUCAGUUGUAAUCAUGUGUAAGAACCAUCUCUACUUCUAUUAAUGUAGCUUCUCUUGGCCUAAUGAUGGGAAAACGCAUAAUUAAUUCCUAUAAAUAAGAAUUAAUUUGCAAGACUAAUUAUGGUUAUUUUUUGUAGUUAUGUGGUAUCAGCUGUUGAAUAAGGAAGGUGUUUAGAUAAUAUCAAAUAAAAUUAUUUAAUUAACAUAUAACUUAAUGAAGUGAUUACACUCAAUACCUUUUAUUGUCACACAAUGAUCAUUUUAUUUCAAGAACAUUAAUUAAAAUGAAAAAUUAUACUUGUGUGUAAAAUUAUAAACAUUACUGUGUUUUUUUUUCUCAUGUGUUCUUUACUAUUUAGGGAGAGAGCCAAUUUUCACUUCGUAGGCUUCCCUACUAACAUCUUUCCUUUUUUCCAGCUAAAGAAAACAAAGGAAAAAUAAUCUUCUCUGGUAGUAGCAUUGUUUUGUAAUUCUGAAACAUUAUUUUCUUCAGUUUGUUCCCUUAUUCUAACAUUUUUAUUUCCCAUUGACUCAUGUAACAAAGGUCUCCAGAGGUAAUAGGUAUUUCUUGUUCUUAUAUUUGUAAACAUAAAGAAAUUUGCUCUUAUUGCAAGGAUAGUGGUUAGGAGCUUGUGCUCUAGAAUAUGACCAGCUGAGGUUCAAGUUCCAUGUCUACCACUUAGUUUUGUUUUGAAAAUAACCUGUUUCUUGGUUAUUCAUCUCUAGAACACCUACUCAUAGAAUUGUUGUCAGAAUUAAAUUAGUUAAUGUGCAUGCAAGGCUUAACAACAGUGUCGCCUGCGUUUGAGCUUAGCAAGUAGUAAGGGUAAUGGACAUCCUUACUGUCAUCAUCUUCUAAAAAUGCAUUAGAAAUUUUACAAUAAAAGGGAAUUUUUAUAAAAAUGAAAGACAAGUAGGUACUAAUCCUGUCUGUUGUCUUCACUCUCUUGUCCUACUUUUUGUUUUGUUUUUGAUUUUUGUGUUUUCGCAUGUCCUAGUUCCCAUUUCACCACGACAUGGUGAUUCCUUUCAGUCCUUUCACACUACUGGAAUUGAAACUCUUCUGUUCCCUAUUAAAUCCCUUCCUCACUCUUGUACUAUUUGCCCACCUUUCUUUCUUAUUUCCCUUUCUCUGUAUCCUGCAGCACUGUCUUGAUUUCUUUUUCUUUCCACCCAUUCUUUGUGUUAUCUUGUUUUUUUUUUUUUAGAUCUAAAUCCAUGUAUUCAUUUUCCUUGCGCUUUUCCCUGAAAAAUUCACCCACCCUUCAUUUAUUAGCUCUAUGAAGAUAUUCCCUAAUGAUUCUCCCCACCUUGACCUAUGCCCCCUUCACAAAGCAGUGGGCAGUUUUAUGAUGUUUAAUAACUCUUAGGCAAAACUGGGCAGCAUGGAAUUAUAAAUUUUUGAAACUGAAAAACUCUAGUAUAACCUAGCUUAGCCCAUUCAAAUUAAACAAAAUUACUUGGAUUAAGAUAUCUAUAAGCUUAUUUUAAGAGAUCAAAAUGAGUACCAAAAGUUAAAUUUGCAUGGCAAUUUACAAUAUGUGAAUACUUUGAUUUACAUUAACCCACCUGUCCUCACAUCAUCUCCAGUGAUACUGGUUAGGCAAGCAUUUUUUGUCUGUCCUCAGUCUACAUUUGAGGAUCAGAAAGAUUUAUAAUUUUCACAAGAUCGUAUUUCUAGUAAUUGAAUAAAUGUGAUUUAAAUCUAGUUUCUGUAAAUUCAGUACAGUUUGACAUUUGGUCACCAGAUAAUUCAUCUUUUUGUUGCCCUCUAGAAAUGCCAUUGAGGUACAUGAAGUGUGUCUCACUAAUUUUAGUUUUUUUCUCGAUUUAUAUUUGUAGAGGUUAAUGAUGCCUUUGACUAAAUGUUUUUCUGCAGUGUAAUACUAUCCUGGUUUCUGACAUCAAAAGCACAGAUGAAUUUCUAAAUAAUUGCCAUCGCUUCAUCAGAUAAUUGAAUUUGCAAGUUCUUUGGAUAAUCCUAAUAGCACAGAGAGCAACAGUUUUAGGGAGAGGUUAGUGCAGAAGUGCCAGAGAAACAUGUCUAAACCGAUGUUUUGAAACUUUCUCUAUGGCUUUUAUAAGCUUUUCCUGUAUGGCUACCAAUUAUAUAAAGUUCAGGGGAUACAUGUGCAGGUUUGUUAGUGGGUAAACUGCGUGUCGUGGGGGUUUGGUGCACAGAUGAUUUUGUCACCCAGGUAAUAAGUAUAGUACCUGAUGGGUAGUUUUUCCAUCCUCACCCUCUGCCCAUCUUCUGCCCUCAAGUAGGCCCUGGUGUCUGUUGAAUUAACGCAGGGAUGGAAAACCAAAUACCUCAUGUUCUCACAAAUGUGAGCUAAACAUUGAGUACACAUGGACACAAAGAAGGGAAAAAUAUAAUCUGCAUUUUAAUAGUAAAAACAUGUACAUUCUUUGAAACACAGUGUCAAAUGUGUAUAAUAACAUAAUUUAGUCUUUAGACAACGCCUAAUCGUAUAUAAAUUCCCAGCCCCUUACAAUCACGUAACUACUCAGUCAGUGAGAACUUACAAUGACAGGACUGCCAGUCAGGUUGGGAACCGUUGCUUUUGAUGAUAUGCUUGCCUUAUUUAGCCACUGCUAUCAAAAGCCUAUGUUGUCAACCAGUAAUUCAUUAAUUGAUAUUUUAAUUCAGUUGUUUUUAAAGUAUUCUAGAACAUUACUCUCUGAACUGUACUGUUUUAGUUUUCGGAAGAUUUAUCCCAGUAUUUAGUGAACUGAAAUGAAGAACAAAAGCUAAACUAUUUGAAUAGUUUUUUUUUUAUUCCACAGUAUUUCAUUAUUUUCCAUGUCUUUGAUAAUUUAUUUUCGUUAUCCAUAUUUCAGCAUUAAAUGUAUUGGUAGGCUCAAAUCAUGUUCAGCUAUACUGAGUGACUUUAAAUGUCCCUGUGCCUAGUAGUCAUCAUUUGAAUCUCAGUCUUUCUUUCUCAGUACAGUAAUAUUCUGAUUAUCAGUUUCAGUUUGAAUUAGAGAAGGCUGGCCUGGAUUCACUAAAAUGGAGGGAACACUACUAGCAGAAGUUUCUGUAGCAUGUCCAUCUUCACUUCCGAGUUUCUGUAGCAUGUCCAUCUUCACUUCUGAGUUUCCGUAGCAUGUCCAUCUUCACUUCUGACUUAGACAAAGAUUUUCAAGGGUUGACAAUGAUAGCUCAUUGUUCCUUGCUCAAUGUCAUAAUUAAUGUGAUAAUUUUUGCAGUAAUGGUAAUAUACUAACAUUUCUGAGAUUAAUGAUACAUUUUCCAGGAAAUCAAAACAAAAAGCACUUAAACUAUCUGCAUUUCUACUAAGGCUAGAAGAAACUUAAGAUUUCUAAGAUACCAAUGCAUAUAUCGUUGUAGAUUUUUGUAUCAAGUACCAUUUCUAGAUACUUUGAGCCUAAUAAAUUUGAACAUAAUGAUAGCUUUUAUUAAUUUUGCUGUAAAUAUGCUAAUACCAUCUAACAA